rnacentral:rRNA from 1 species
CCAGAGAUGGAUUGGUGCCUUCGGGAACCGUGAGACAGGUGCUGCAUGGCUGUCGUCAGCUCGUGUUGUGAAAUGUUGGGUUAAGUCCCGCAACGAGCGCAACCCUUAUCCUUUGUUGCCAGCGGUCCGGCCGGGAACUCAAAGGAGACUGCCAGUGAUAAACUGGAGGAAGGUGGGGAUGACGUCAAGUCAUCAUGGCCCUUACGACCAGGGCUACACACGUGCUACAAUGGCGCAUACAAAGAGAAGCGACCU